rnacentral:rRNA from 1 species
GGAGGGUCCAAGCGUUAUCCGGAAUCAUUGGGUUUAAAGGGUCCGUAGGCGGCCUUAUAAGUCAGUGGUGAAAUCUCCUAGCUCAACUAGGAAACUGCCAUUGAUACUGUAAGGCUUGAAUUUUUGUGAAGUAACUAGAAUAUGUAGUGUAGCGGUGAAAUGCUUAGAUAUUACAUGGAAUACCAAUUGCGAAGGCAGGUUACUAACAAACGAUUGACGCUGAUGGACGAAAGCGUGGGGAGCGAAC